rnacentral:lncRNA from 10 species
AUUCUUUACUGGGACGUGGCUGGAGGCUGCAAGCAGCUGAAGAAUCGCUAUGAGAGCCGAGACCGGGAAUGGGCUACCUACACCUGUGUGCUGGGCUUUCACGUCUACGUACCCGUGCGCUCGUGCCAAGGUGAGGCCGCGGGGAUCGCCGGGGUGGGACCGGUGGGCCCGAGGGCUCAGCCGCCACCGCAACUCUUCCCUCCGGCCCAGGCGCCGAGCCGCAUGUACGGGGGCCACGGCAGCCACGUGACCAGCGUCCGAUUCACGCACGACGACUCGCACCUCGUCUCGCUGGGCGGCAAGGACGCCAGCAUCUUCCAGUGGCGAGUGCUGGGCGCUGGGGGCGCGGGGCCGGCGCCCGCCACGCCCUCUCGAACCCCCUCCCUGUCCCCCGCCUCCUCCCUCGACGUUUGAUCGCUGCCUGGCGGGACCGACUGGCCCGGCGGCGUGGCCCCGCCCCGCCCUGCCCUUCCCUGGCCCAAUCCCCCACGACUAGGGGCCGACUCUUUCCUGGACUGACUUCGAGACAUUCCCGAUCGCGCAUUUUCCUGGAGGGCGCGAACGGCGCCCCUGCACACACUGUUUAGACCCGCUGGCUGAGCCGGGCAGCCCCAGCCUAGGCCUUGACUCCCGCUGCCUGCUGAGGGGCAAUAAACCAGAACCAAAGUCGC